rnacentral:rRNA from 1 species
CUAAGCCAUGCGAGUCGAGAGGGUUCGGCCCUCGGCGCACCGCUCAGUAACACGUGGAUAACCUACCCUGGAGUGGGGGAUAAUCUCGGAAACCUGAGGAUAAUACCCCAUAGGCCUUUGGUACUGGAAUGUUCUUAGGCCCAAAGUUACGGCGCCCCAGGAUGGGUCUGCGGCCUAUCAGGUAGUAGUGAGUGUAAAGGACUCACUAGCCGACAACGGGUACGGGCCAUGGGAGUGGUAGCCCGGAGAUGGAUUCUGAGACACGAAUCCAGGCCCUACGGGGCGCAGCAGGCGGGAAAACUUCGCAAUGCGCGAAAGCGCGUCGAGGGGAUUCCAAGUGCAUGCACUUAGUGCAUGCUGUUUGCUAGUCCAAAUAGCUAGUAGAGUAAGGGCUGGGUAAGACUGGUGCCAGCCGCCGCGGUAAUACCAGCGGCCCGAGUGGUGAUCGUUAUUAUUGGGUCUAAAGCGUCCGUAGCCGGCCCGGUAAAUCUCUGGGUAAAUCGUUGGGCUCAACCCAGCGAAUUCUAGGGAGACUGCCGGGCUUGGGACCGGGAGAGGUCGGAGGUACUCCGAGGGUAGGGGUGAAAUCCUGUAAUCCUUGGGGGACCACCGGUGGCGAGGGCGUCCGACCAGAACGGGUCCGACGGUAAGGGACGAAGCCCUGGGGCGCGAACCGGAUUAGAUACCCGGGUAGUCCAGGGUGUAAACGCUGUGCGCUUGGUGUUGGGGGUCCUUUGAGGGCAUCCAGUGCCGGAGAGAAGUUGUUAAGCGCACCACCUGGGGAGUACGGUCGCAAGACUGAAACUUAAAGGAAUUGGCGGGGGAGCACCGCAACGGGAGGAGCGUGCGGUUUAAUUGGAUUCAACGCCGUAAAACUCACCAGGGGCGACUGCCAUAUGAAGGCCAAGCUGAUGACUUUGCCUGAUUGGUAGAGAGGUGGUGCAUGGCCA